rnacentral:misc_RNA from 1 species
UCGUAACAAAAUGCGAGAAGGCAUGCAAGGGCUGUCGCUGACUCAAAAGUCGUGCACGCCGGAGUGUGUUCUCUCGCAUAAUCAAUCCAUCUCACCCCUUUGUGCAUCACCGCGUGGGCACCCUUUCGGGAUUGUCUCGGAGGGGGCUCGCGUUUUCACACAAACCCCCCCCCCUUUUAAAAGUGUAGAAUGACCUCAUUUAUGCGCUAACCCGCAAUCAAUAC